AAGUCGUAACAAGGUUUCCGUAGGUGAACCUGCGGAAGGAUCAUUAAUACAUGUUGAGCGCACUUUAAUGUGACUCUUUGUAUACCAUUUACCCCCAACCCAGAGGUGCAUUGUGGCCUGUAAAAAGGUUAGCAGUGUAUCAGUACGUAUUACAAAGUCUGACUUUGUCUUACAUUACCCAUAAGUUACCCCCCAUUUACACUUAUACAGUUUUAAGAAUGAUACCUAUAAUUAUAUAACUUUCAGCAAUGGAUCUCUAGGCUCUCACGUCGAUGAAGAACACAGUGAAAUGUGAUACGUAAUGUGAAUUGCAGAAUUCAGUGAAUCAUCGAAUCUUUGAACGCACUUUGCACCUUUUGGUUAUUCCGAAAGGUACGCCUGUUUGAAUGUCACAAAACUCCCCUCGGCCUUAGCUCUUUCUAAAAGCGUUAGGGACGGAUUCUGAGUGUUGGCGUGUCAACGCCUCGCUUUAAAUAUAUCAGCACUUUUGGAUGGUCUAAUAUUAGUUCAAAAGACGGACUUGAUGUUGUAUUUAUAUUUCAUUGAGAAGGUCUUUGGUCGUAUCGACUAUCCGCUAAUAGGACGACUUGAUGAAUAGCUUCCUAACCCUAUAAAUUAACCCUUUAGACUUCAAAUCAGGUGGGACUACCCGCUGAACUUAA
rnacentral:sRNA from 1 species